rnacentral:misc_RNA from 1 species
CAAGAAGCCGAAAGGCUACUUAAAGCCAUCGCGAACUUAUCCAAGUUGCUUCGGCCGGCGCGGCUCCCCUCACGGGGGACCGCAGCCCCCCGCCUCUCAGGAGGUAAAGGGGCAGCCGCCGGAGGUACGAAACUCUGUAUUAUAGUGGUAUCUCUGAGUAUAAAACAAAUAAGUUA